ACGUAGGUGGCGAGCGUUGUCCGGAUUUAUUGGGUUUAAAGGGUGCGUAGGCGGCCUAUUAAGUCAGUUCUGAAAUAUCCCGGCUUAACCGGGAGGGUGGGAUUGAUACUGAUGGGCUUGAGUGGACUCGAGGUAGGCGGAAUUGACGGUGUAGCGGUGAAAUGCUUAGAUAUCGUCCAGAACACCGAUAGCGAAGGCAGCUUACUAAGGAGUAACUGACGCUGAGGCACGAAAGUGUGGGGAUCAAACAGGA
rnacentral:rRNA from 1 species